UAGCUCUCUCGGAUAGGCUGUAACCUCUGUAGUACCCAGCCAAUGGGGAAACAGGGGAGGGACUUGCACAUUAGGAAUAGGAGAUUUAAAGAUCGCCAUGUUCUUCCUCCCGCACGCCAGCCCACCACGUUUCUGGCUGUGCACCCUAUCUUGCAAGAUCAUAAGUAAAUUCUUUUCUCCUCCAGAACCGAGUGAGUGUUUAUUCCCUUACAGGUACCGCUUUAUUUCCAACAACGGGGCCCAAGGAGACAUGUCUGCUGCUGAACAGUGACCCACUCCCCCUAGGAAACCACAAGAGGCAACCCAUGCUUUUUGGUCAACUGUGGGUCUGGGUGGAAGAGACUGGAAGGAACAUGAACACAUCUAUCAAUUGAGGGGAAAUGUAUUCUACAACCACACAUUCCACAAAUGCUCAUUGAAAUUCAACUUUGCUAGGCUGGAUUUAUCAGAAUAGAAGUCAAAGGAUACCAAUGCACUAGGUAAGUGUGGCAGACAGACUCUUAGGGUGAUGCCCAUGGUCCCCGCCUCUUGGUAUAUAUGCCUCUAUGUAACUCCUUCCUAUGACUUGCUUCUAACUAACUGAUUAUGGCACAGAUGAUGGGAUGUACAUGAUCACACACAUGUAUAUACGUACAUAAGAUGGCAAUGUCUGUCUUACAAAGAGACUCUGCUCACUUUCUGGAUUUGAUGAAAGGAGAUCCAAGUGGCAAGGACCUGAGGAUGUCCUCUAGGAACUGAGAAUGACUUCCAACUAAAAGCCAAGAAGAAAAUGAGUUGGGCCCUCGAUCCUGCAACCACAAGGAAAUGAAUUCUGCCAACAAUCUGAGUGAUUGUGGAAGUAAAUUCUUCCCCAGUCUAACAUUCAGUCUGACCUGCCAGAGAAUUCUCCUGGGGAGGAGUAUCAAAUUGGUUCUCUUUUCCUACUUUACACAAGAAAGACAUCCCUCCCAUCCAUCCCCAGCUCCUGGCAACCACUAAACUGCUUUCACAGAGUUAAUUCUUACUGCAAGGCAGGAAGGUAGUGGGUCAUGAGGGAGCCUUGCUUGGUGCCAAAUAUGUUCAGCUUGAAUCCUCACAG